rnacentral:rRNA from 1 species
GAACCACGCUGGCGGCGUGCCUAACACAUGCAAGUCGAACGCGAAAGUGGAGCAAUCCAUGAGUAGAGUGGCGAACGGGUGAGUAACACGUGGGUGACCUACCUUCGAGUGGGGGAUAACGUUCCGAAAGGGACGCUAAUACCGCAUAACAUCCUGCCUUUGAAGAGGUGGAGAUCAAAGCUGGGGAUCGCAAGACCUGGCGUUUGAAGAGGGGCCCGCGUCCGAUUAGCUAGUUGGUGAGGUAAUGGCUCACCAAGGCAACGAUCGGUAGCCGGCCUGAGAGGGCGGACGGCCACACUGGGACUGAGACACGGCCCAGACUCCUACGGGAGGCAGCAGUGGGGAAUUGUUCGCAAUGGGCGCAAGCCUGACGACGCAACGCCGCGUGGAGGAUGAAGGUCUUCGGAUUGUAAACUCCUGUUGCCCGGGACGAACGUCUCCGACCUAACACGUCGGAGAGUGACGGUACCGGGUGAGGAAGCCCCGGCUAACUCUGUGCCAGCAGCCGCGGUAAUACAGAGGGGGCAAGCGUUGUUCGGAAUUACUGGGCGUAAAGGGCGCGUAGGCGGCCUGCUAAGUCGAACGUGAAAUCCCCGGGCUCAACCCGGGAACUGCGUUCGAGACUGGUGGGCUUGAGGACUGGAGAGGAGACUGGAAUUUACGGUGUAGCGGUGAAAUGCGUAGAUAUCGUAAGGAAGACCAGUGGCGAAGGCGGGUCUCUGGACAGUUCCUGACGCUGAGGCACGAAGGCCAGGGGAGCAAACGGGAUUAGAUACCCCGGUAGUCCUGGCAGUAAACGGUGCACGUUUGGUGUGGGAGGAUUCGACCCCUUCUGCGCCGGAGCUAACGCGUUAAACGUGCCGCCUGGGGAGUACGGUCGCAAGAUUAAAACUCAAAGAAAUUGACGGGGGCCCGCACAAGCGGUGGAGUAUGUGGCUCAAUUCGAUGCAACGCGAAGAACCUUACCUGGCCUUGACAUGCAUCUCUAAGCGCGUGAAAGCGCGUGAGUCCCGAAAGGGACAAUUUGCACAGGUGCUGCAUGGCUGUCGUCAGCUCGUGUCGUGAGAUGUUGGGUUAAGUCCCGCAACGAGCGCAACCCCUGUGAACUGUUGCCACCGAGCCGUGAGGCUCGAGCACUCUGUUCAGACUGCCCCGCUCUAACGGGGAGGAAGGUGGGGACGACGUCAAGUCAGUAUGGCCCUUACGGCCAGGGCUGCACACGUACUACAAUGCCCAGUACAGAACGAUCCAAAACCGCGAGGUGGAGGAAAUCACUAAAACUGGGCCCAGUUCAGAUUGAAGUCUGCAACUCGACUUCAUGAAGCCGGAAUCGCUAGUAAUGGCGUAUCAGCUACGACGCCGUGAAUACGUUCCCGGGCCUGUACU